AGAAGAAGGGAAAUCCACAUAGCAGUUAGAUGAGCAGCAGCAGGUCUCCUCUCCUUGUUAAAUGUUGUACUUUGUGGAAACCCAUGAAUCUUGUAACACUUAUCAAUUAAGUGCCCAGAUUUUUUUGCAGUAUCUACAGAAUAAAGGCCCCCUAGCUUGGUCAAAAUUGACUCUCUGUCUGAAAGAAGGAGAAGGAUUAGGCACUGUGGCCUUAUUGAAUCCAACUGAAUAUCUAUUAGUGUGAACAUUGAAAGACAUAGAGUCUGGAUUAAACUGAGAAGAGGACUGGACUUGUCUCUGCUUCUCAUCAUUGAGGACCAUAUUAUAGACACUGUCAAGGGUUGGAGGUGGCUGGAUCAUCAAUAGGUUACUCCUUACCCCCAUGUAUGCUACAUUAAGG
rnacentral:lncRNA from 1 species